GCUGCGAGGGCGCCCGGCUUUCCGCAGGAGACCGGGCUCCAAGGAAGUCGGGCUAAUCAGAUGAAACCAAAGGAGUUAAACCAGCAAGGAAUUUUGCCUGCAAUUUACUGACCAUAAUGGGACAAGAUCUGGACAUGUAAUUGUAAAAAAGGAUUUAAAAUCUGAUUAACAAAGGAGUAGGCAAAGACACAUUUUGUCUCUAACAGUGCUCCCCAGUAGUUGUACUUGUGCACUCCUUUUGCGAUGCAACAAAACAAAAUAGAGUGUGUGUGUUGUCUUUGGUAAGUAUAUGACACAUUUUCUUUUCUCUAAAUAUCUUGUUUGGUCACAAUAUUUCUUGGUUGCCUACAGAAGGAGCUUUUUAUGAUUCAGCUUGUAGAAAACAGUAAAUGUCACCAUGAUAUUUAUCUGUGUAUAUUUUUUAAUCACACAACCUUAUUACUUUCCUAGACCUAGAUUUUUCUUCCUGAUAUAAAAACUGCUUUCUUUUCAUGAGCAAUCCCUUUGACAACAGUGGAACCAGUUAUGAUCAACAUUACUAUUCAGAGUGAGUAAGGGUGUUGCAAUCUUGUCCUUAAUAUGUAUAUUUUCCACAAUUUAUUUAUAAAAUGGUCUUUUUGAUUUUUUUCUCUAUUUUGGGAAAAUUAUCAGAAGAACAAUUUUUCAAUUGUUUACAGUAAAUUCUUUAUGAUAUAGUUAAGGAGAGGGGAAAUUUUUUAAUAUCGUUGGUUCUUUAUAGGUAUAGUACACACAGAAUUUUAUUGUGGAUUAUGAUUUUUUUUUAAAGCAGUUCUUUAUUGUAACAUAUUUGGUUAAUACAGUAAUUAUUAAACCCCAAAAUUAGUGAAAAUCUUAAUGUUUUCUAAACAACUACCCAGAGAAAAUGCAGUAUCCAUUACUGUUUAAGCUUCUGCAUUGGCAGAAAGAUGACAGAUAAACUGGAAUGUGUCAGUACUUCAAUUCAGUUACAUUGAAAUGUAAAGACUCCAAAGGAAUCUUUGUUAGGUUUUCAAAAAGCUAGCACUUGGAUUCCUACCCAGCUGCAAUGGCACAGUGCGGUACUGUCUGUUACUGGUGCCAGUUUCACACCAUUGCCCAAAAAGGUUACUGAAUACCCCUCACAUCGUUCAGGCUGCAGAAUGAGCUCCUCACUCAAAUGAACAUGUCUUCUCUUAUUGCUAUGAAGACAGUACACUGAAAGCAUUUGCUAAUUCAUUCUCAUUCUGUUGUCUUUAAUGAUAACUUUAAUCCCUUUUUCUUUUGUACGUAAGUCUUUUUUAUUUUCCCUCAAUUUUUAUUUACC